UGGGGAAUAUUGCACAAUGGGCGAAAGCCUGAUGCAGCGACGCCGCGUGCGGGAUGAAGGCCUUCGGGUUGUAAACCGCUUUUGAUUGGGAGCAAGCGAGAGUGAGUGUACCUUUCGAAUAAGCACCGGCUAACUACGUGCCAGCAGCCGCGGUAAUACGUAGGGUGCAAGCGUUAUCCGGAAUUAUUGGGCGUAAAGAGCUCGUAGGCGGUUUGUCGCGUCUGGUGUGAAAGUCCAUCGCUUAACGGUGGAUCUGCGCCGGGUACGGGCAGGCUAGAGUGCGACAGGGGAGACUGGAAUUCCCGGUGUAACGGUGGGAUGUGUAGAUAUCGGGAAGAACACCAAUGGCGAAGGCAGGUCUCUGGGUCGUCACUGACGCUGAGGAGCGAAAAGCGUGGGGAGCGAACAGGAUUAGAUACCCUGGUAGUCCACGCCGUAAAACGGUGGAUGCUGGAUGUGGGGCCCAUUCCACGGGUUCCGUGUCGGAGCUAACGCGUUAAGCAUCCCGCCUGGGGAGUACGGCCGCAAGGCUAAAAACUCU
rnacentral:rRNA from 1 species